CCUACGGGAGGCAGCAGUGAGGAAUAUUGGUCAAUGGGCGCGAGCCUGAACCAGCCAAGUAGCGUGAAGGAUGACUGCCCUACGGGUUGUAAACUUCUUUUAUAAAGGAAUAAAGUGAGGCAUGUGUGCCUUUUUGUAUGUAUUUUAUGAAUAAGGAUCGGCUAACUCCGUGCCAGCAGCCGCGGUAAUACGGAGGAUCCGAGCGUUAUCCGGAUUUAUUGGGUUUAAAGGGAGCGUAGAUGGGUUGUUAAGUUAGUUGUGAAAGUUUGGGGCUCAACCGUAAAAUUGCAAUUGAUACUGGCAGCCUUGAGUACAGUUGAGGUAGGCGGAAUUCGUGGUGUAGCGGUGAAAUGCUUAGAUAUCACGAAGAACUCCGAUUGCGAAGGCAGCUUGCUAGGCCGGAUCUGACACUGAUGCACGAAAGCGUGGGGAUCGAACAGGAUUAGAUACCCUGGUAGUC
rnacentral:rRNA from 1 species